UGAGGAAUAUUGGUCAAUGGGGGCAACCCUGAACCAGCCAAGUCGCGUGAAGGAUGAAGGUCUUAUGGAUUGUAAACUUCUUUUAUACAGGAAUAAAUUGGGGGACGUGUCCCCUUUUGCAUGUACUGUAUGAAUAAGGAUCGGCUAACUCCGUGCCAGCAGCCGCGGUAAUACGGAGGAUCCGAGCGUUAUCCGGAUUUAUUGGGUUUAAAGGGUGCGCAGGCGGGAUGUUAAGUCGGCGGUGAAAUUUUGCAGCUCAACUGUAAAAGUGCCUUCGAUACUGGCCUCCUUGAGUGUGGAUGAAGUAUGCGGAAUUUGUGGUGUAGCGGUGAAAUGCUUAGAUAUCACGAGGAACUCCGAUUGCGCAGGCAGCUUACUAAGCCACAACUGUCGCUCAUGCACGAAGGCGUGGGGAUCAAACA
rnacentral:rRNA from 1 species